rnacentral:rRNA from 1 species
GACGAACGCUGGCGGCGUGCCUAAUACAUGCAAGUCGAACGCUUUUUCUUUCACCGGAGCUUGCUCCACCGAAAGAAAAAGAGUGGCGAACGGGUGAGUAACACGUGGGUAACCUGCCCAUCAGAAGGGGAUAACACUUGGAAACAGGUGCUAAUACCGUAUAACACUAUUUUCCGCAUGGAAGAAAGUUGAAAGGCGCUUUUGCGUCACUGAUGGAUGGACCCGCGGUGCAUUAGCUAGUUGGUGAGGUAACGGCUCACCAAGGCAACGAUGCAUAGCCGACCUGAGAGGGUGAUCGGCCACACUGGGACUGAGACACGGCCCAGACUCCUACGGGAGGCAGCAGUAGGGAAUCUUCGGCAAUGGACGAAAGUCUGACCGAGCAACGCCGCGUGAGUGAAGAAGGUUUUCGGAUCGUAAAAACUCUGUUGUUAGAGAAGAAA